UUAAAAUCAAAACCAAAUCUGACACUAUAACAGUAUCUUUAUAUGGAGAUACUAUCCGUUCAUUCAUUUGAAUGGGAAGUCACAAACAUAAUAGACAUCCAAACAUUAUCUAUAAGAGGUUUCACUUACUUCAAGAAAGAAUUCAUUUUGGUAUCUUUGUUGGAAGAUCCUAACUUUUAAAUUAUAGUAGGUAAAGAUGGAAUAGCAAUAAUACACAAUAGUAAAAAUUAUAAGUCCCUCUAUUAGCAAAAAAUAGAUCUUGGAAUCUACUAUUCUUAAAGAGUUGGUUUAAAAUACAUUAAACUUCUCCAACAUAUUACACAAAUGAUGCAAAUAUGGUCUACUAUCAACACCACAGUGCAAAAUAUUUAUAAAGUAUACCUAAGCCCACUUUAAAGAAAGUCAUAAGAUAUUUAAAUAAUCC
rnacentral:lncRNA from 1 species